rnacentral:rRNA from 1 species
GGGGAAUCUUGCGCAAUGGGCGAAAGCCUGACGCAGCAACGCCGCGUGCGGGAUGAAGGCCUUCGGGUUGUAAACCGCUUUCAGCAGGAACGAAAAUGACGGUACCUGCAGAAGAAGGUCCGGCCAACUACGUGCCAGCAGCCGCGGUAACACGUAGGGGCCAAGCGUUGUCCGGAUUUAUCGGGCGUAAAGAGCUCGUAGGCGGUUCGGUAAGUCGGGUGUGAAAACUCUGGGCUCAACCCAGAGACGCCACCCGAUACUGCUGUGACUAGAGUCCGGUAGGGGAGUGGGGAAUUCCUGGUGUAGCGGUGAAAUGCACAGAUAUCAGGAGGAACACCGGUGGCGAAGGCGCCACUCUGGGCCGGUACUGACGCUGAGGAGCGAAAGCGUGGGUAGCAAAC